UACGGAGGGUGCGAGCGUUAAUCGGAAUUACUGGGCGUAAAGGGUGUGUAGGUGGUUAAUUAAGUUAUCUGUGAAAGUCCUGGGCUCAACCUGGGAAGGUCAGAUAAGACUGAUAGACUUGAGUAUAGGAGAGGGUAGUGGAAUUUCCGGUGUAGCGGUGAAAUGCGUAGAGAUCGGAAGGAACACCAGUGGCGGAGGCGGCUACCUGGCCUAAUACUGACACUGAGGCACGAAAGCGUGGGGAGCAAACAGG
rnacentral:rRNA from 1 species